rnacentral:rRNA from 1 species
UGGGGAAUAUUGCGCAAUGGGGGAAACCCUGACGCAGCGACGCCGCGUGAGCGAAGAAGGCCUUAGGGUUGUAAAGCUCUGUUUUAAGGGACGAAUGUCGUGGGGAGUAAUAUGCUCUGCGAAUGACGGUACCUUAAGAGGAAGCCCCGGCUAACUACGUGCCAGCAGCCGCGGUAAGACGUAGGGGGCGAGCGUUGUCCGGAAUUACUGGGCGUAAAGAGCACGUAGGCGGGAACUUAAGUCAGGUGUGAAAGACCGGGGCUCAAAUCAGAGGUUGCACUUGAAACUGGGUUUCUUGAGAGCAGGAGAGGAAAGAAGAAUUCCUGGUGUAGCGGUGAAAUGCGUAGAAAUCAGGAGGAAUACCAGUGGCGAAGGCGGCUUUCUGGACUGAACCUGACGCUGAGGUGCGAAAGCGUGGGUAGCAAACAG